rnacentral:rRNA from 1 species
UACAGAGGUCUCAAGCGUUGUUCGGAUUCAUUGGGCGUAAAGGGUGCGUAGGUGGCGCGGUAAGUCGGGUGUGAAAUUUCGGAGCUUAACUCCGAAACUGCAUUCGAUACUGCCGUGCUUGAGGACUGGAGAGGAGACUGGAAUUUACGGUGUAGCAGUGAAAUGCGUAGAGAUCGUAAGGAAGACCAGUGGCGAAGGCGGGUCUCUGGACAGUUCCUGACAGCUGAGGCACGAAGGCCCAGGGGAGCAAACGGG